AUAUGGGCAAAAGCAGCAUAAAUUGAAUAUUGUAUAAAUAACCUUCCCCUUUUUCUUGGUCUCAGGCUGUUACAACUAUGCAUCUGUUGCAAAGACAGCCAACUUCCUGUUUGAUUCAUUCCACUCAUUAUCUGUCCAUUUCCACCCACGCCCAGCGUAACAGAUUGUUUUUUGCUUUGAUGACUAAAUGUUUAUAGCAACCAGAAUUUCCACAAACCUCUGAAAUGGCACAGCAAGAGUUUCCUAUUCAUGUUCUCGGUGUCAGAUUAUUUGCUUGGGAAAAGCUUGCUAUGACAAGAGACUGUUUGGGUUCUUUGGCAAGAAGCUGCAAUUUUCUUCUGAGAACAGAAUAGCAGAUGUCCACCAUAUUUCCAGCCUCACUCACCAGGGGCCUCGGUCUUUUUAAAAACCACCCAUGUUAUCUAAGGCUUCUCAAUCUAUUGAAGAAUACUCAGCCACCUGCUUUGUAACAGAUUAAUUUAUCAUAUCAAUGUAUUUGUAUUUUACCCAAUAUUACCCAAACACCAAUCUAGGAAUGAAGUGGAAAAACUCCAUUUAAAAUAAGUGGGCGCUCACACUUAUUAUCAGAAGGAAGUAUCACCUUUAUUAUUUUAUUUUUCAUUUCCUAUUGCAGCAGCAAACAUGAACAAAAAUACCCUUAAGAACAGAUAAAUGCACUUUUAACUUUCUGCUUUGGGAGUUUGAAGUGACCAAGUUGCUAGUUAGAUGGCUUUACCAUUUAAACAACCAAUUAUGCAGCAGUAACUUUAAAAUUUCCUGCAGUGAACCACAAUAAAGGCAGCAUAUUUCAUCCAUGCUUUUUUGAAAGCAUAUUAUUCCUACCCUAUCAUGAUCUGACAUUUGUCACAUUUAUCUCUUUGCAGUCUGGCAAAUGAAUUUUAAUGCCAAUGCCUUUGUAAUCCUCUUUGUUGCACAUUCACCUAAUGAUUAGCAGGAGCUAUAGUUGUAGCAGCAGUAGAACUGGCAAAAGGAAAGGGUGGCCCUUGACCUUUACUUCUAAAAAUAAGCGAAAGGUUCCAUUUAGGUUUUCCUUUCCUCCCUUCAGUAGGAUUGCUUAAGUUCAAGUCUACAUAAAGGCUCUGGCAGAGACAGUAAUUUCCACAAUCCAAGUAUAUGGCUGCUGCAGUAGGAGAUGGGGAGCCCAGAUGCUCAAAGAACAAGAGUGGUGUCACCUUAUUCUGUAAAUAUUAGAGCCUCAUGUACAAAGAGAAGGGUUAGUUGUUUCUCAAGGGUCAUUUUGUGACUACAGUUCAAAACAUUGCUCUUUCAGUGCAGCAAUAACACAGAACCUCUGCAGCAGAAGUGUCCCCUCAAAAAGAAAGUGUGAACUAGUAAAUUAUAAGUAAAAUACAUAUAAAUGUACUUAAAUGUAAAUAACAUAGUAAAUUGUGUAUGUGUAUUGUGUCAUGGUUUAGGGAUAUUUGAGAAGCCCCUUGAAUGUGUAGCUUGUGUAAGACGCUGUUGACUAUCUUCACGGUAGGACAUUUGUUGUCAAACAGUGAGCCUUGGCCAUCUUUCCCGGAGUCCUCUUCCUCCUCCUCCUGCUUGCUGCCUCCCAGAUUCCCAGUCUCCCCCUCUGCCCACUCCAGUUCUGCCACACUUUAUGCCAAGGGUCCUCUCAUGGGCUCAGGGCGAGGAAGAGCACAAGCACUGUUAAGUUGUGGGUGAACAUAUCAGACGACACAGCGAUUCUUCAAACAGCUCUUGUUUAUUCACAGGCCAGAACUGAACUGAAGGGUUCAGCCAGCCUGCUUAUAUAGAGCUCCACUAGAACGCAACAGUAACCAUUUUCUGUAACUAUCCAAUCACUGAACGUCACUUUCGAUCCCUUAUUUGCAUAACUAUCUACAGUAUCCCCCUGCUGGCCCAGGGUGAGAACUUUAGUACAUAACAAGCACAUCUGGGGGAAGCAGGAAGUUUCCCUUUGUUUGCUUGCUGCAGCAUCCCUGACAACGGAUUUGGGUGAGGAGGUUCCCAGGUGGCUGUCCUUGUAUGUUGUUGAUGUGCAGGUAUCUGGGGAUUUAUGCUGUGAUUCCUUCCCUGUGUGCCUUGCCCUUCCCCUUUCAGGUAGCAUCUGAGGCUUCUGUAUGACGACUGCUUGCUACUGCUUUUUAUCUGCUUAAAAUCCCACCCCCAAAAAACCCCAAAUCCACCCCAGCUUCAGUAACAGUUCCUUAAUUCUACACAUAGGGUUUGAGAAAUGCAAGAAAAUAGCAAAGUAGCUUGAUGGUGUGUGUGCCCGGAAGUGUAAGUUUGCCCCCUCCUGUGGGUUUGGGGUUUUUUUGGUAACACCCUUCCCUACUAAAAAACCCCACCAGCACCAACAACUUCCCUUCUUUUUUUGAGAGUCCCCCAGUUCUAUGAGGAGAGAUGUAAAAAUAACUGUGAAAGUGAGGAGUGUCUUCUGUGUUUCCCUCUCCUUCUAUCCCCAACAUCCCUCUCCCCUCUUCUUCUCUACCUCUCCCCACAGGCAAGGGGGGACAGCAGAGCCAAAGUAGGGUCUGCUGAUGCAGUCCCUCAGAAUUCCACCAGGGGUCUGAAGCCUCUUGCUGAUUGGCUGCCAAGACAGUAGUCAGAGGGGGUGGAGCCUGUUGCUGAUUGGCUGCCAAGACAGCAGCCAGAGGUGGGUGGAGCAUCACUUUGGGCUAUGAUGGAUGUCACCAGCUAAACAGUUUCAGCGCCUGAAUGGAAUUUUCCAUGGGUGCAGUUGUGGGAUGUUUUUACAUCAGUACAGUCAAUUACAACAUGCUUUACUUCCUAGAGUGGACAGAGACAGGGGGUGCGUAACUUCCUGUUCCUGCUCUAAGUGACUCAGCCCAUGAGUGUGACUCAUGCUCUGCCCUGUUUGUUCCUGUUCGAUUCAACUCAUAGUUAAGUCUAUUUUGUUAGCACUUAGGCCCAUCCUCACAAAGGAUGUAAGCCACGUUAUAUGUUUGUAAACUGAAGCUUAAAGCCUGCCUUCUAGGAUGUGUACUGUGAACAACUUGUAAGUAAACUUAUUGUUAUACUUUUAAA